CGGAUCAGUCUGUAUGGGGCAGAACCAAUGCUGGGAGGCCUUUUUCAAGCGGAAGCAUCACGAUUCGGGGCCAGAGGAGGUGCCGAGACUUCCCGGAGCGAAUCCGGGCCAGACGUGGAAGGAUGAAAGGCUUGCCAGAGCUCAAGAGUCCGGUACUCACCGCGGGCUGGAUGCCAGCUCUGUGCUGGGGGCGCGCAUGGUCACACAUGGAUGAGGGAGAGCCUGAGGCUGAGCCGGCCUGGGGCACGAGGACAUGAGCCCGCUGCUUCUGCGGCAUUAGAGGGAGAAGCAUUGCCCAUUCAGCUCUCUUUCCAAUAAUUCCUUCCACUUGCCAUUCCAUCUACAUCAAAGCUCUUAAGCAACAGUUUCUGUAGUCUCUAUGAGAGACUCAUUCUAAAAAUGGAUUCCACUAUUCAUCAUUGAAAGCAAUUUCAAGUUGCAUAAGAAAAGAACAAAAUUUUGCAUACCCUUCAGCCCAGAGAUCCUGUUGCUGCUGAUCCCAAGAUGGGCCAAGACCAAUAGACUCCAGUUAGAUAAAAAUAUUCUACUUACCACUUCAGGUGGGAUCUAAAAAGUGAAAGUAAAAUGGAUUCCAGUUUGGAGGUAGAGGACUGAGUUAUGGAGUCCCAGCUAAAGCCCUAAGAAGGAGGAAGAGUUUUACUUUCUCUUCUUUCUUCUACUACCUCCUCCCUUCCCCACCACUGAGCAUUUCAUCACAGAGACUGGAUUAGCAGGAAGCUGGGAUCAGAGAAAUGGACCCGUGGAAGACAAUGCAUCUCACUGGGAGGAAAGGGACACCAGGAGAAAAGGAUGCGGAAAAAGGAAGAAAAUACCUUUGAGGAGCAUGAGCACUUGCAUCAGAGCAGAAUUCUGACUAUGGAAUCAAGAAAGGACUUCCAGGCUGUAAGGAGUCCGAUAUCUCUGCACGUUGAAGUACGAUUAGCAGCAAUCCCUAUCAAUGCAUCAUAACAAGAUGUUGCAGCAGGGAAGCUUGGAGAAGCCAGUGUGCCUGGGAUUUGAGCCUGAGGAAGCUUUGGAUUUGGAACUAGGGCUAUGCACCCUUGUCCUCACUCAGAGUCUCUCUCCUCCUUCACUCCAGUCUCACGUGAAGAAGUGGCUUACUACUGACCAAGAACGAAACCCCUACCUACUCGAGUGAUGCCAUUCCAUCUCAUCUCCUCCAAUGCAUUGACCACACUUUCCCUUAUCUUCGAUCCCUGGCUUUCUACUGGCUCCUUCCUUAUUGCCUAUGAACAUACCCAUGU